UACGGGGGGGGCAAGCGUUGUUCGGAAUUACUGGGCGUAAAGGGCUCGUAGGUUGCCAACUAAGUCAGACGUGAAAUCCCUCGGCUUAACCGGGGAGCUGCGUCUGAUACUGGAUGGCUUGAGUUUGGGAGAGGGAUGCGGAAUUCCAGGUGUAGCGGUGAAAUGCGUAGAUAUCUGGAGGAACACCGGUGGCGAAGGCGGCAUCCUGGACCAACACUGACACUGAGGAGCGAAAGCCAGGGGAGCAAACGGG
rnacentral:rRNA from 1 species